rnacentral:rRNA from 1 species
AGGACAAACGCUGGCGGCGUGCCUAAUACAUGCAAGUCNNACGGGGAAAGUCUUCGGAUGAGUACUNNNGGCGCACGGGUGAGUAACACGUAGGUAAUCUGCCUUCAGGUGGGGAAUAACUAAUCGAAAGGUUNNCUAAUACCGCAUAAGACCACAGACUCUGAGGAGUUAGGGGUUAAAAGCUUCGGCCGCCUGAAGAUGAGCCUGCGNACGAUUAGCUAGUUGGUAGGGUAAUGGCCUACCAAGGCGACGAUCGGUAGNUGGUCUGAGAGGAUGAUCAGCCACACUGGGACUGAGACACGNCCCAGACUCCUACGGGAGGCAGCAGUAGGGAAUAUUGCGCAAUGGGGGAAACCCUGAC